rnacentral:rRNA from 1 species
UACGUAGGGGGCUAGCGUUGUCCGGAAUCAUUGGGCGUAAAGCGCGUGUAGGCGGUCCGGUAAGUCCGCUGUGAAAGUCGAGGGCUCAACCCUCGAAUGCCGGUGGAUACUGUCGGGCUUGAGUACGGGAGAGGCGAGUGGAAUUCCUGGUGUAGCGGUGAAAUGCGCAGAUAUCAGGAGGAACACCAAUGGCGAAGGCAGCUCGCUGGGACGUGACUGACGCUGAGACGCGAAAGCGUGGGGAGCAAACAGG